rnacentral:tRNA from 1 species
GCCUGGGUAGCUCAGUUGGUUAAGCGUCCGACUUUGGCUCAGGUCAUGAUCUCGCAGUUCGUGGGUUCAAGCCCGCAUCAGGCU